GUCUGGUUCCCAGCCCGCAGUGGGGUUGGGGUAACGGCUGGUAGAGCCCUGUGUUGUUCUGUUGAACGAUCUUAGAAAAGCCAGUCCCGGUCUGCCUCCUGGUGUGCUGCUGGCAGUGUUCUGAGGCAGGGGUGCCGGUUAGUCGGCAGCUACUGAGAUGGAACGGGUCCUGGCUUGCCUGAGAUUUUAAAGCGUGCUUUCACCAGCAGAUGUGCUUUGAUCCAGGCAAACCUGUUUUUGCAUAAAACUAAGAGGACGCCGUGACUAGCAUCGGGGCCUGGCAGCAAGGGUGCUGCUUGUGAGAGCUGAUGGGAGCACUGGGUUCAGUAGCCUUGAGCCCUGGUUGGGCACUGGCUGCAUGAAACGAGAGGUGGCCACAGGGCAAGGGAGGUGAUCGUUACCCUCUGCUCUGCCAUCUGGAGUAUUGUGUCCAGGCCUGCGGCCCCCAACACAAGGAAGAUGUGGAGCCAGGCCUGUUCAGCAUGGAGAGGAGAAGGCUCCUGGGAGACCUCAUUGCGGCCUUCUGGUACUUGAAGGGCGCUUAUAAGCAGGAGGUGGACUGACUUUUUAAGCAGUCUGAUGGUGAUACGACAAGGGGGAAUGGCUUUAAGCUAAAAGGGGAGAAUUGGGUUAGAUAUUAGGAAGUAAUUCUUCACUUGGAGGAUGGUGGGGCACUGGAACAGGUUGCUCAGAGAGGUUGUGCGUGCCCCAUCCCUGGAGGCAUUUAAGACCAGGUUGGAUGGGGCCCUGAGCAGCCUGAUCCAGUGGAUAGUGGCAACCCUACCCAUGGCAGAAAGGGUGGAACUUGGUGGUCUUUAAGGUCCCUUCCAAGCUAAGCCGUUCUAUGACCUUAGAUACAGGGACUCCACCACUUCCCUGAGCAGCCCAUUCCAAUGCUCAACUGUACUCUUUGUGAAGGAUUUUUUCCCAACAUCCGGUCUAAACAUCUCCUGCUGCGACUUCAGAUGAUAUCCUCAUGUUCUAUCACUUGUCACUUGAGAAAAAAGAUUAACGCUCUCCUCACUGCAACAUGGAGCAACAUAGCACUCUACAUAUAAAUAAUGUUUGUGUCAUAUCAAUAGGUCCAUCCUAUUAUGGUGGAUCUUGUUGGGACAAAUCAACUUGCUAGCGUGGAGCCUGUUCCUGUAUCAUUGAUUUCCAUGACUUAUGUAGGACAAGGAUAAAUUCUGGAAUAAUUAGGAAAAAUUAGUCACCACAGUACCUUUGGGAGCUCUGUUUGCGUCGAUCAGUUCCCAUUUUCAUUGAGAUAUGCCUGGCAUUUGCUGCUGCUGAUAAGGAAAGGGUAAAUGGGGUGGGAAGAUGACAAGCAAACGAAAGACUAAUUUAAAGGGGAAAGUUAAUAUUUGCUAAUCUGCAAUAUACAGUAGGUUAUUGUUUCUUGCUACGGUCAGAACGACAGUGAAUGUUUUCCUAAAUAAAGUAGUUUUCCACAAAAUGCA